GAUGAACGCUGGCGGCGUGCCUAACACAUGCAAGUCGAGCGGCAGCGAGGGGUGCUUGCACCCUGUCGGCGAGCGGCGGACGGCUGAGUAACGCGUGGGAACGUGCCCCAAAGUGAGGAAUAACUGCCCGAAAGGGUAGCUAAUACCGCAUAUUAUCUUCGGAUCAAAGGAUUUAUCCGCUUUGGGAGCGGCUCGCGUCGGAUUAGGUAGUUGGUGAGGUAAUGGCUCACCAAGCCGACGAUCCGUAGCUGGUCUGAGAGGAUGACCAGCCAGACUGGAACUGAGACACAGUCCAGACUCCUACGGGAGGCAGCAGUGAGGAAUCUUCCACAAUGGGCGAAAGCCUGAUGGAGCAACGCCGCGUGCAGGACGAAGGCCUUCGGGUUGUAAACUGCUUUUAUAAGUGAGGAAUAUGACGGUAACUGAUGAAUAAGGAUCGGCUAACUACGUG
rnacentral:rRNA from 1 species